CCGCCUCCCUGUGUGCAGCGCGAGGCCGGCAGGUGAGCUCAGUGUGACGGAGACACUCUCCUCAGGUUGCUCCAGUCUGUCAGCAAGAAUUCCAACCAAACAAAAAGGGCUGUCAUUCUGAGGGGCCUGCCAUAUUUCCUCUGUGAAGAAACUCUGUGAGUUCCUCAGGACUGCAGAGCCCACAGACAUGGAGGACAGCAUGACGAGGGGAAUGAAUGUCGGCAUUGUCCUAGUAAAAGAAGGAGAGGAUCUUGUUGACAUAUCGGUGGUCCUGGAGGAACAGAUCAUUCUGCAUGGCAUCAAGGACUACUCGCAUGCGGUAGCUAUGUUAAUGGGUCUGCUAUAUGCACUGAACAUUGACUACCAUUCAGCUCUGCAAGGGUUCAUGGACUGAGGAAUAGACUUCUUCGUAAAACUGUGUAGACACUACACUGAGACUGAGAGUUUUCUCUUCAGUUCUGUUCCACUAUUGUAAUGGUCACUGACAUUGUCAGUUGCAAGAAUUUAAGUUUAAUUUAAUUUAAGUUUGAGGUCUUUCCUGGAAAGUCUUUUUGACCCGUUUGGGUGUGCAUCAUUUUAUUUUAUAUUUUUUUCACAUUAUGAAAGACAGCGACAGAAGUAAUGAGUAGAGAGUACUCAUUUGUGCACGUUCUAAAGAGGAGAUGUUUUACUCAUAAGCCUGUGUU